ACGAACGCUGGCGGCGUGCUUAACACAUGCAAGUCGAACGGAAAGGCCCUGCUUUUGUGGGGUGCUCGAGUGGCGAACGGGUGAGUAACACGUGAGUAACCUGCCCUUGACUUUGGGAUAACUUCAGGAAACUGGGGCUAAUACCGGAUAGGAGCUCCUGCUGCAUGGUGGGGGUUGGAAAGUUUCGGCGGUUGGGGAUGGACUCGCGGCUUAUCAGCUUGUUGGUGGGGUAGUGGCUUACCAAGGCUUUGACGGGUAGCCGGCCUGAGAGGGUGACCGGCCACAUUGGGACUGAGAUACGGCCCAGACUCCUACGGGAGGCAGCAGUGGGGAAUAUUGCACAAUGGGCGGAAGCCUGAUGCAGCAACGCCGCGUGCGGGAUGACGGCCUUCGGGUUGUAAACCGCUUUCGCCUGUGACGAAGCGUGAGUGACGGUAAUGGGUAAAGAAGCACCGGCUACUACGUG
rnacentral:rRNA from 1 species